rnacentral:rRNA from 1 species
UACGUAGGGGGCAAGCGUUGUCCGGAAUUAUUGGGCGUAAAGAGCGCGUGGGCGGUCCGGUAAGUCAGCUGUGAAAGUCAAGGGCUCAACCCUUGAAAGCCGGCUGAUACUGCCGGACUAGAGUCCGGAAGAGGCGAGUGGAAUUCCCGGUGUAGCGGUGAAAUGCGCAGAUAUCGGGAGGAACACCAAUGGCGAAAGCACUCUGCUGGGCCGACACUGACACUGAGAGACGAAAGCUAGGGGAGCGAAUGGG